UGGGGAAUCUUGCACAAUGGAGGCAACUCUGAUGCAGCGACGCCGCGUGAGCGAUGAAGCCCCUCGGGGUGUAAAGCUCUUUCGGCAGGGACGAUAAUGACGGUACCUGAAGAAGAAGCUGCGGCUAACUACGUGCCAGCAGCCGCGGUAAUACGUAGGCAGCGAGCGUUGUUCGGAAUUACUGGGCGUAAAGAGUGUGUAGGCGGUGCUCUAAGUUCGGUGUGAAAUCUCCUGGCUUAACUGGGAGGGUGCGCCGAAAACUGGAGUGCUCGAGCGUGGGAGAGGAAAGCGGAAUUCCUGGUGUAGCGGUGAAAUGCGUAGAUAUCAGGAGGAACACCAGCGGUGUAGACGGCUUUCUGGACCAUUGCUGACGCUGAGACACGAAAGCGUGGGUAGCAAACAG
rnacentral:rRNA from 1 species